GACAGAGGGUGCUAGCGUUGUUCGGAAUUACUGGGCGUAAAGCGCACGUAGGCGGCUUUGCAAGUUAGAGGUGAAAGCCCGGGGCUCAACUCCGGAAUUGCCUUUAAGACUGCAUCGCUAGAAUUGUGGAGAGGUAAGUGGAAUUCCGAGUGUAGAGGUGGAAUUCGUAGAUAUUCGGAAGAACACCAGUGGCGAAGGCGACUUACUGGACACAUAUUGACGCUGAGGUGCGAAAGCGUGGGGAGCAAACAG
rnacentral:rRNA from 1 species